UUUCUGAUCUAAUACUAUGAGAUCUAUUGAUUCAGGGCUAUAAAUCUAUUCCUAUGGGAUCUAUUGAUUCAAGGAUGUAGAUCUAUUCUUAUGGGAUCAAUUCCAGUAUAGGGUUUCUAUGUAGAUCUAUUGUUUAUUCAACUUCUAUAGUUCUCUUAUUUAUUGAUUGUGGAGGUACUGAUUUUUUUAUUUUUUAUUUUGUAAGAAUGAUUGAUAAAUUUCUAAUGGCUAUUUCUCCUAUUACUUUGGUGUUAACAUUAUUUGAUUUUCUCUGUAGCCUGACUUGUUUUACUUACAGGAACUUUCGAGAUCCCUAUCUUGUGGGGACACUGGCACCUGAGCUAGGAAGCUUCCUCGCAUUAGAUCUUUGUAAGCGAUAGACUCAUCAUAUUGAAUGCACUCAUAAUAAAAGUUUUAAACUACCAUUUGGAAACUGCUAGGUAAUGGCACAUAUCGGUGAUGAAUGACACACAACUCGAUACACAUUUGGAGCCUUGCCCCUAAUGCUUUUCUUUUAACAGUACUUUGGCCUUAGAGAGGAACAAGUGUACUCAUCAUCAUAUAAACCAAUGAUGGCCAUAAAUAUCUUAAGCCAAAUCUACAACCACAACAUAUUGCACCUUGGUUGAAGGAGUAUACGGAUGGAAACAUAAAGACAUAUUUGUGAAAUCUGUGACUAUUCCUGAAGUUAACAAUUUCCAUGUCAAGAUUGUUGUUGCUAACAGCCUCCAUGAUGUGGUUUUCAACUCUGAAAAAAAUGGUUUGUACCCACCAACAUCUCUUUUUGGAUUUUUCUUUGACAAUUCAUGAAAUUUAGUAGAUAAAAAUAGAAGUUUGUCAAAACAAGGGCAGAGAUUGCCAAAUAUAUAAGGAAAUCAUAAGGACUCCUUAGUUUUUUAAGGUUUUGAUACAUAUUACUUUCUAUAUAGCACUUUAUAUCACUUUAUCUCUAGUCUAUUAAUAUACACUUAUAUUAUUGUUAUUGUUGCAAUUUGGGUUGUAACAUUGUUCGUGGAUUCCUUUGAUGGUAGAUGUGUUUUCUUUUUCCUUUCCUUUCUCAUACAUUUAGUAUUCUGAUGAAUUAAAUAUGUUUUAACUAUUGUGAAUAAAAAAAAUAGUGAAAGAUCUCAUAUAAUUCCAUGUACCUUUGCUUCCUACGCUGAGAUGGUGUGUUUGCUACCUAUCUUCUCUUUGUCUUAUAGUUGUUAUACUUGAGCCACUUUGUUUUACAUGUCAUAGCCACUCAGAACAUCAUUCAAACUUUUACAUAUCAAAUGGACUUAAGCCCUCUCUUUCGUCUUUUUUAGAUGGUAGGAUUACAUAUCAUUUAAGGCCAGAUUGAAAUGUCUACAACAAAUGGACUUGAGUCCAUGACUUGUGCUCUAAUAUGGGGUGUCGUAACCAUCUUGGCUACUAAGCAUGAAGUAGAAUUUCUAUUCAUAUUCCUGCCCAUUUUAGCUAGGCCUUUGGAAGUAGUAGUAAAAUUUUUGUUGCACAUGUAAAGUUGGAAGGCCUUGGAGCCUUCCCAUUUGUCCCACUUACAUGCAUUGGUUCGUAUGUACUGUAGCUUGAAAAUCUUGACUUUUGGUGGUCUCAAAAGUUCACAAUUUGGCCACAUUGUGGUUGGAACAUCCCCACAAUGUUCCUCAUUAGAUAUGUCUAACUGGUUGUUGUUAGCUAUGAACUACCGGGUUGAAACGAUAAUUCCAGGUGAGAUACUAUUUCAAGUGUAUGUUUCAUUGAGAAAUUAUGUGAUGUCUUUUGCCUUUUUGAAAUCUAGCACAUCAUAGUUAUGAGCGUACGGUUGGUGGGUAUAUAGGUAUAGUGUUUUUUUUUUUUUUAAAUCAUGAAUCUUUCUGGAAUUUCUUCAAAAUGCCAUGUUCAUCUUUUAUAUAUCAAGAAUUUGAAUUGAUAUGGUACUGUAUGAUCAUCUGACUUUUCUUAAAAUUAUGGAACAUUUGUACUAUAUUUUUUAGUCACUUGAUCAUAUUAGUGCAGUCUUUGGUCCUCUCCAUGGAUGAAUUAGAUGCUGUAAGAUUGGCAAUCUCCUCCUUUUUCUUUUUUAAGUUAUUUGAUUAUCUGGCAAAGCAUGAUGAUUUGCAUAUGCAAAUGACUCUAUUGAUCCAAACUAUCCAAGAUUUUCAGGUGUAAUAAAGUGUAAAUGUGGAUGCUCUUCCAAAAAAAAAUUAGAUUGAUUAACAAAAUAGGUGGACCACAGUUAACAAAACUAGUUGAUGACCAAUAAAAAUUGGUUGCCUACCUUUUGAGUUGGUAGGCCUGAGUCUUGUGACAGAGCAUAGUGGGAUCCUUAAGAUAGACAGACUGGGUCUGACUUACAGCUUGGUGCAAGUUUCAGUCCACUUACCUUCGGCUAGAUUUAUGGCCUAUUUGGAUAUAACAUCCUGAAAAAAAAAAAAAGGAACAGAUUGCCAAACCACACAAUCUGUAUCUUGGGUAGACGGGGAAAACUAGAUGCAUGGUCUGCCGAGCUGUGGUAGCACAUCAUCUGCCACAACUUAAUGGAUAGCUAAGACUUCCAAACUGACUAUUCCCCUUUGUUGUUAUAUGCUGCUAGCAGGUCUACUCAAGCAACUCGAAUGAACGGAGGAUAUGAUAUAUAAAUUUUGACAUGGGUGCUACUGUAUGACUAUAUAAUCUGCUUUGUAAUAGGAUAUGGUUAUACAUUGCUUUUUUUUAUCGUCCUCUGGUCUGAAUUUUUAGAUGUUUUGUGGAGGGAACAUUUAAAUCUAGACAAAUGUUUCUUUCAUCUAAUCAUUCCAAUUUGAACAAAUGUUUAAGAAUAGAUGCAAUCUGUUAAGAUUUCCUGCCUCACUGUGGUCUCUUAUGAUGCUCCAAUGUAUGGGACUGCUGAACCAUGGGUCACUUCUACAAAAUUGAAAACCGAGUAUAUUAUACAUACUAUGGAUCUCCUAUAAUUCCAUUUUAAUAAAUAAGACCAAUGAAAUUUUAAUAAAUCUACUCCCUUCUUGUUGUUUUGACCCAACUCAGUUGGACAUUGAAGCAAAUGAGAUUUUAGGGCAUGGUUUGUCCAUAGCAAGGCAACCUCGGUCACCGCCAGUUGAGUUGUGGGCCCAGUUGAAAAAUUACUGGUGAAGCUAAAAAUGUCAGACAUGAGUUAGCUGCGACCCUAGAUCCUGUGAUGCGGGCGGGACCCUGACUAUAAUUUUUAAUUAUCCAGUGAUGUGUUUAUAGUGUUGGAAUAUUUGCUUACUUGACUUUAACAGGUUGGUAAGGGAAGAGAUGUUGAACUGAAUCAGAUUACUCUGUUUGAGGGGAAAGUUGCUGGUGGUAAUGGUGAACAAGUUAACUUAGUAGGGAUGUUUCUAGGCUUUUGUGUGUAGGUGCGAGCGUAGGCUCCUUUAUUUUCUUAGUAGCAUCAAUGAUUAGCUUGAAGCUCUACCACUCUUGGAAGUUAAAGAGAGAAAGAUAGAGAAAACUGUCUCAAGUUUGUUUUUUUUUUUUUUGAAUUUGAGUGCUUGGAUGACAUUCUAGUUGUGUGGUUAUGUACUUCUUAUUUUGACUGACUAGUUGCCUGUGUAUUGUAUCUUUGAAUUCAGAUUCGUUUUGGGGUUCAUCUUUGGUUAUAUUUUAGGGAAGAAGCUUCUCGGGUAUGGCUAAUUAUCUCAUUUCUUGAUCAUUCUGUGAAAAUCUUGCAAAAUUUCAGGAGUUCUUGUUUGUCUUUAUAAACUUCCAAUGGUUGGAUAAAAAUGUAACUGCAUGAAAACAUUCAAACCUGAAAUAUCAUGUCCCUUCCCUAUAAACACAUCAUUCUGCAAGCUUUGGGAGCUGCGCUUGUGAUUAGUUUCAUGCUUUUGCUAGCAAUCCUUUCCCGGCCCACUAGUUGGUGGAAAUACUGCAGCCAUAAAUAAAUGGACUAAUGAUAGGAUUGCAAACUGCCAAUCUCCCAACAUGGACUUCGUAAAGGGGGAGCUUUUGAGGUUGCUUCUUUCUCUACUAAAAAUAUAUUGUCAAGAUUAUGGAAAAUUAUGAUCCCCAUUCGGCGUGGACUCAACAUUUCUAGUAAAGUAGAUCAGUUUGUUUUUAAGCAUGUCAUCAUACAGUUAUACAAUUCAUUCAAUCCAAGAAUAUGGCAACAGUUGGAUGUCACCUCAUUUACUUGGA